rnacentral:rRNA from 1 species
AACGAACGCUGGCGGCAUGCCUAACACAUGCAAGUCGAACGAGACCUUCGGGUCUAGUGGCGCACGGGUGCGUAACGCGUGGGAAUCUGCCCUUGGGUUCGGAAUAACAGUUGGAAACGACUGCUAAUACCGGAUGAUGACGUAAGUCCAAAGAUUUAUCGCCCAAGGAUGAGCCCGCGUAGGAUUAGCUAGUUGGUGAGGUAAAGGCUCACCGGGGCGACGAUCCUUAGCUGGUCUGAGAGGAUGAUCAGCCACACUGGGACUGAGACACGGCCCAGACUCCUACGGGAGGCAGCAGUGGGGAAUAUUGGACAAUGGGCGAAAGCCUGAUCCAGCAAUGCCGCGUGAGUGAUGAAGGCCUUAGGGUUGUAAAGCUCUUUUACCCGGGAUGAUAAUGACAGUACCGGGAGAAUAAGCUCCGGCUAACUCCGCG